CAGCCGCCGCGGGAAAACGUAGGGUGCGAGCGUUAAUCGGAAUUACUGGGCGUAAAGCGUGCGCAGGCGGUUCGUUAAGACAGAUGUGAAAUCCCCGGGCUUAACCUGGGAACUGCAUUUGUGACUGGCGAGCUAGAGUAUGGCAGAGGGGGGUAGAAUUCCACGUGUAGCAGUGAAAUGCGUAGAGAUGUGGAGGAAUACCGAUGGCGAGGGCAGCCCCCUGGGCCAAUACUGACGCUCAUGCACGAAAGCGUGGGGAGCAAACAGGAUUAGAUACCCCGGUAGUCCCUGUCUCUUAUAC
rnacentral:rRNA from 1 species